UAAUACGUAGGGUCCGAGCGUUGUCCGGAAUUACUGGGCGUAAAGAGCUCGUAGGUGGUUUGUCGCGUUGUCCGUGAAAACUCACAACUCAAUUGUGGGCGUGCGGGCGAUACGGGCAGACUGGAGUACUGCAGGGGAGACUGGAAUUCCUGGUGUAGCGGUGGAAUGCGCAGAUAUCAGGAGGAACACCGGUGGCGAAGGCGGGUCUCUGGGCAGUAACUGACGCUGAGGAGCGAAAGCGUGGGGAGCGAACAGG
rnacentral:rRNA from 1 species